rnacentral:lncRNA from 1 species
UUACGGUUGCAGUCUUGUAAUUGACUGCUCCAUAGGCUUACAUGCAAAACAGCUGAUCUUUGAAAAUUAAAAAUAAAAUCUACAUAGAAAAUUUGUUUCAUGUUCAUAUCAUGUAUGUACUAAUAUGAAAUUGUGAUUUAAUCGAGAAAAAGAGGGUCAUGCCAUGAAGAAUAAAAAGUUACGUAAUCCUGAAGUCAAAACAUUUUUUUUCUACUUUCUGUUUGCUAUUUUUACUAGGCCGCACCACUUCCAGUAAACAUGAUAUCCUUCCACUUUCCUGGAUUGAUAUCCUCCAAAAGAUGCAAGAUUUUUUUAAGUCUAUAUAUAUGUUUCAAUUCAGCAUAAACCUAUAAUCAAACAGAAAAAAUUGAGUUCAGAAAAAAAAUCAGAAAAAAAUGCACUAUUUUGUUUCCCUCCAUGCUUUGACAUGCACUGGAAACUGGAGUUGUAAUACAAGACUGGUA